rnacentral:lncRNA from 1 species
AACUCAAGGAUCGAACGAUGGCUGCUGUAGCGAUAGCUAGUAGCGAUUCAGAAGGAGAUAUCUUGGAGAUAUCUAACAAGGUAUCUACUUUUUUCCAGCAGUGGAUUUUAGAUUCUGCAUACAUCUAUCGUGUAUAUUUUAGAGAUGAGCAGUUUGACUCCAUGGAGAACAGUGAGGGCACUGUUUAUCUGUCGGAUAGAUUAUGCUGUGCGAUCAGAGACAUCGGGAUGAUCAGUUGGAGGAUACAUGAUGGUGC